AGGACGAACGCUGGCGGCGUGCCUAACACAUGCAAGUGGAGCGACGACCCGGGCUUCGGCCCGGUGCAAAGCCGCGAACGGGUGAGUAACACGUGGGUAACCUGCCCUGAUGAUUGGGACAACCCGAGGAAACUCGGGCUAAUACCGAAUGUGCCCUCUGGCCGUAAGGCCUCUGGGGAAAGGAAGCUUCGGCCUCCGCAUUGGGAUGGGCCCGCGGCCCAUUAGCUUGUUGGUGGGGUAACGGCCUACCAAGGCGACGACGGGUA
rnacentral:rRNA from 1 species